UCCUCAGAGACUACGCUCUGCUCACACUGCCUGCUGAGUUCUCCAGCCAGCUGCCCCUGACGGUGGUGCCUUCUACACCCCAGAGACCAUCGACACAGCCCGUCUCCAUUACCGUGGCUCCUGGGCCCCCGUUCUCCACGCUGUGGCCCUCUGGCUGAGCAGCACCAGCUUUGGGGAGGGGGAAGAAGAGGCCCCUGCUGUCCCUCCACAGGCUUCUGGGGCACCAGUCUACCCACAGGGUAACCCUGGACCUACUCAGAGCCUGGAGGAUCUGAUUAAGGACAGAAUGCAUCUGAUGUUGGGUGUCAGUAUUGAGUUCCUGUGUUUCCCAAGACCUGAGGAACCAAUAGAACAUGUCAUGUCAUGUCUACAGGCUCUCUGUACCCUACUGGACUCUCC